rnacentral:rRNA from 1 species
CCUACGGGAGGCAACAGUCGGGAAUCUUGCGCAAUGGAGGAAACUCUGACGCAGUGACGCCGCGUGCAGGAAGAAGGUUUUCGGAUUGUACACUGCUUUAGACAGGGAAGAAAAUAGACAUUACCUGUAGAAUAAGCUCCGGCUAACUACGUGCCAGCAGCCUCGGUAAUCCGUAGGGAGCAAGCGUUAUCCGGAUUUAUUGGGUGUAAAGGGUGCGUAGACGGAAAGGCAAGUUAGUUGUGAUAUCCCUCGGCUUAACUGAGGAACUGCAACUAAAACUACUUCCCUUGAGGACUGGAGAGGAAAGUGGAAUUCCGGGGGUAGCGGUGAAAUGCGUAGAUAUUAGGAGGAACACCAGUGGCGAAGGCGACUUUCUGGACAGUAACUGACGUUGAGGCACGAAAGUGUGGGGAGCAAACAGGAUUAGAUACCCCAGUAGUC